GCCUGGAGAAUGGCUGCAGUUCCGUAAUAGAGCAUCUGCUUUGCAUGCAGAAGGUCUCAGAUUCAAUCCCUGGCGGGGCU